rnacentral:rRNA from 1 species
UACGUAGGGUGCGAGCGUUGUCCGGAAUUAUUGGGCGUAAAGGGCUCGUAGGCGGUUUGUCGCGUCGGGAGUGAAAUCCAGGUGCCUAACACCUGGCUUGCUUUCGAUACGGGCAGACUAGAGGCAUGCAGGGGAGAACGGAAUUCCCGGUGUAGAGGUGAAAUUCGUAGAUAUCGGGAGGAACACCGGUGGCGAAGGCGGCGACCUGGGUAGAUACUGACGCUGAGGCGCGAAAGCGUGGGGAGCAAACAGG